GUGAACGCUGGCGGCGUGCCUAACACAUGCAAGUCGAACGAUGAUGGAGAGCUUGCUCUCCUGAUUAGUGGCGCACGGGUGAGUAUACCAUAGAUAAUGUACCUCUUAGUUUGGGAUAGCCACUGGAAACGGUGAUUAAUACUAGAUACACCUCUUUAGCUCAAGCUAGAGAGGGAAACGUUUUUUCGCUUCGAGAUCAGACUAUAUCCUAUCAGUUAGUUGGUGAGGUAAUGGCUCACCAAGGCAAUGACGGGUAGCGGUUCUGAGAGGAUGAUCCGCCACACUGGUACUGAGACACGGACCAGACUCCUACGGGAGGCAGCAGUGAGGAAUAUUGCACAAUGGGGGGAACCCUGAUGCAGCAACGCCGCGUGGAGGAUGACGCAUUUCGGUGUGUAAACUCCUUUUAUAUGUCAAGAAAAUGACGGUAGCAUAUGAAUAAGCACCGGCUAACUCCGU
rnacentral:rRNA from 1 species